UCAGCAGUCUGUGUGUGUGUAUGGACUCAGCAGUCUGUGUGUGUGUGUGUGUGUAUGGACUCAGCAGUCUGUGUGUGUGUAUGGACUCAGCAGAGUGUGUGUUUGUGUAUGGACUCAGCAGUCUGUGUGUUUGUGUGGACUCAGCAGUCUGUGUGUGUGUAUGGACUCAGCAGAGUCUGUGUGUGUAUGGACUCAGCAGAGUCUGUGUGUGUAUGGACUCAGCAGAGUCUGUGUGUGUAUGGACUCAGCAGAGUCUGUGUGUGUGUGUGUGUGUAUGGACUCAGCAAUCUGUGUGUGUGUAUG